GAGAACGGGAUUGAAGAAAGGGGCAGCUUCUGUUGAGAGAAAGUGUCCACCAGUUACACUGUAUUUCUGCUGUGCAACCAACUUGGAAGUUCUGGGUCAACCUGUGUUAUCCAUGCAUGUGGAAAUGUAAAGAAUAUGAUCUUCUUCAUAUUCAAGAAGAUCUGAACUUCUAAAACAUUACAAACUUGAUCAUCUCAGAGCACCAUGGCAGACAUGGCACCUGUUUGAUUGCUGAUCGUUUUAAGUGAAGACAACAGCGUAAGAAUGGAGCUGCACAAAGGGAUUCCAAACUCAUUGGAAGAGCUUAUUGAUGAGGUUAAGAAUGCGUGUGGAUUAGAGGGACACACAAGGCUGCAGUAUAAGGACACCGAUUUUGGAAACAUAUUUGUGAAUCUGACCUCUACAUCUGUGAUUAGGGAUCUUAAAUUCUCAAAGUUGUUCAGUUAGACCCUGAUACCACAACUGUUGUCUUGUACCCGGUUGAUCCCUCAAUAAGUAUCAACACUUCUGUAAGUGGCCUGGACAGUGAUGACUCCUCUGUUUCUGCACAUACAGAUGACACAGUGUUGCUUAGCAGCCCCUCACCAGACUCACUAAGGACACAGCAGUGGCCACAAGUGUUCCAAAUCCCAAACUUCUCCUAUGACACAAAAUGCCAACUGCAGAAGGCAAAUGUGGAGUACAUGAAAAGCCAAACAAAACUGACUCCUAGUUCAAAAAUGUU